rnacentral:lncRNA from 1 species
AUACAUACGUCUGCAACAUUUUCUCCAUGCAAGAAUGAAGCAACCGAAGGUCCACGUUCACAACUUCAUGCACGAUUUUUCUCCUUAGACGGCCAUGCGAACGGCCUCGCCAACGGCCACGUUCUUCGGCCACGCAGCCGUGUCUCUCUAUUUUCCUUCAUGAAGACUGGAAGACUAUCAAUUUGCAUGACAAUAUUCACGUCCAUUUGGCCGGUCAAACAAUAGAAAGGAUGGCUGACCCAUGCAACAAAUAGGGUCACGUUUGUUUAUGGGAAGUGGGAAUUGAUGGCGAAAAAAAAUUCUCGGUGAAGGCCCACGUUCUCAGCCCAUAUUCACACCAGAAUGAAGAGCCCACAGCCCAGGCCCAUGCAGCCCAUACGAACGUUGAGGAGUCAACCAAGGUGGGUGGUUGACCGAGGGGCACCCAGCAACAGCCACGUUGCUCUCCAUUUCGGUGGCCAGCGAAGGAGGAGCUCGGAACACCUGCUUCGUUCGUGUCUACAAGUGGCCAAAGAAAAUUGCCACGUCUCCCCCACCUGUCCAUUUCUGCUGCAUCCACCGAAACCCCUACAUGCAAAUAUCAUCAUUAAUCUAAUUAAUUUUGAGCCUGCAUAGAGAGCAUACGUACUACAACCAGAUACGUACUACAACCAGAGACAAGAGUCAAGCGAGGGCCUAGGACAUUAUAGAUUCCACCGCCCUGGAUGCCGAAGAUGGCGAAGGUGGCAUAGAGGGCGGUGUUCGCGUUGUUCACUGCUGUGGGGUCCACCUGGCUGCCACCCCCCAUGCCGACGAGGGCGCCGUACAUGCCAGGGCAGUAGAAGCAGAGCAGCCCAAUGAGGCUGAUUUGGACCAGGGGGAGUUAUACCUGAAAAGGGACUUCUUCGACGGUGUGGCCGAUUCCUGAUCAAGAUUGCCUUCGAAACGCAUGUCUGAGAUUUCGGAAGAAAGAUCGGUUUUUCGAUCGAGGGUGUGGGAAAUGAGGGACUUUGAGGAGAUGGG